rnacentral:rRNA from 1 species
AUUGAACGCUGGCGGUAGGCCUAACACAUGCAAGUCGAACGCGAAAGUCCUUCGGGAUGAGUAGAGUGGCGGACGGGUGAGUAACGCGUAGGAAUCUAUCCUGUAGUGGGGGAUAACGUUUCGAAAGGAACGCUAAUACCGCAUACGCCCCAAGGGGGAAAGCGGGGGAUCUUAGGACCUCGUGCUAUAGGAGGAGCCUGCGUCGGAUUAGCUAGUUGGUGAGGUAAAGGCACACCAAGGCGACGAUCCGUAGCGGGUCUGAGAGGAUGAUCAGCCACACCGGAACUGAGACACGGUCCGGACUCCUACGGGAGGCAGCAGUGGGGAAUAUUGCGCAAUGGGCGAAAGCCUGACGCAGCCAUACCGCGUGUGUGAAGAAGGCCUUCGGGUUGUAAAGCACUUUCAGUGGGGAGGAAAAGCUGGUGGCUAAUAUCCAUCGGCCGUGACGCUACCCACAGAAGAAGCACCGGCUAAUUCCGUGCCAGCAGCCGCAGUAAAAC